UAGGAGGAGAAGAUUGUUCUCAUUAACCCUUUCACUUGUGUAGAGCUAACCUUGUCGAGGAUUAUAGAGGAGCAUGGACCAGAUCAUUAGUUUGACUUUCCAACAUCGGCUGGUCGACAUCGACCUCAAUCGAUUUGUUGGAUAGAUUGUAAUAUUUUAAUAAAAUUAGAAAGAGGAACAGAUGUAUCAGUCUCCUCUAAAAAAUAAAUAAAAG
rnacentral:lncRNA from 1 species